rnacentral:rRNA from 1 species
UACGUAGGGUGCAAGCGUUAAUCGGAAUUACUGGGCGUAAAGCGUGCGCAGGCGGUGAUGUAAGACAGUUGUGAAAUCCCCGGGCUCAACCUGGGAACUGCAUCUGUGACUGCAUCGCUGGAGUACGGUAGAGGGGAUGGAAUUCCGCGUGUAGCAGUGAAAUGCGUAGAUAUGCGGAGGAACACCGAUGGCGAAGGCAGCCCCCUGGGUCAAGAUUGACGCUCAUGCACGAAAGCGUGGGGAGCAAACAGG